UCCUACGGGGGGCAGCAGUGGGGGAUAUUGGACAAUGGGGGGAACCCUGAUCCAGCGACGCCGCGUGAGUGAAGAAGUAUUUCGGUAUGUAAAGCUCUGUCAGCAGGGAAGAAAGAAAUGACGGUACCUGACCAAGAAGCCCCGGCUAACUACGUGCCAGCAGCCGCGGUAAUACGUAGGGGGCAAGCGUUAUCCGGAAUUACUGGGUGUAAAGGGAGCGUAGACGGUAAUGUAAGUCUGGAGUGAAAGGCGGGGGCCCAACCCCCGGACUGCUCUGGAAACUUUGGUACUAGAGAUCAGGCGAG
rnacentral:rRNA from 1 species